UAGGGAAUAUUGCUCAAUGGGGGGAAACCCUGAAGCAGCAACGCCGCGUGGAGGAUGAAGGGUUUUCGGAUUGUAAACUCCUUUUGUUAGAGAAGAUAAUGACGGUAUCUAACGAAUAAGCACCGGCUAACUCCGUGCC
rnacentral:rRNA from 1 species